CAGCCUCUGGAAACUCCGAGGGCCACCUGCGUGUUGGGGACACCUGGCGCCCCUAGUCUGGAUGCCCAAGGACCGCAGGGGCCUGCAGGAGAAGGACCCUGAGGCAUCGGGGACCCUGCGUUGUGCUCCCUGCCAGAGGUGCUGGGCCGCCUUGGGUGUUGUGCUCAGUGAGGUCUUUUCACUUUACUUACAGUUCUCUCUGUGACUGGGUUUGGGGUCUCCCCCAGGAGGAUGGUGGUUGGGUGGCUAGGGGCGCUUAUUCCUGAGUCUUCCUCAUAAUAUUUGGGAGGUGAAAAAAGAGGCUAAAGGGCUUUGGAAUUUUAGGCAGCCUUACUUUUUUAAAAAAGCGAGAGCAGGAAUUUCCAUCUGAUUCAAGUGAAAGUCCCACCCAGACGUUUUCCUCAGCAAACGGCAGGUACUCACUAGCUCAGUUUAUAGGGACCAUGUGUGAAGGCAGAACGCUCUGUGGCACUAACUGGGCUUAUGUUCUUUCUGUUUAUUAAAGAUGCUUAUUCACUCUGCUCUUGAUUCAGAAUGAUCCUAUACGCUCAUAAGUGACGGAAGCAAACUCAAUACAUUCCUGUUGAAUUGGCAAAUGACAGGAAUUGAGACACAUCAGUGGGUGUGACUACACCUGUGCAUAAGGACAGAUUCACAGGUUAAUCUCCCGGUAACUACAAAUCCUUGUUUGUCCUGCAAUAUGAACACGGAUUAACAUGCAAUGGGCUGCUUCUCAACCAAAUAGCUGCACGUUGGAACGAUCUGGGAGUUUUGAAUGAUGCCAUCAGAGUCUCCGGAAAGAGUAGCUUGGGACCAGUGCAAAAAGCGUAUGAGCUGUGGCCUGCAGUGUUGACGUCGGGGGACCUCUGCUCUAAUGCAGUCGUGUGCAGCCUUGGCAACCUGGCCUGGACGCCUGGGUCCCGCCCCCAGAGAUCCUGACUUCACCGGUCUGGGGACGGCACUGUCACUGUGCCCAGGCUGCUUGCACGGAGUUUGCUGUAUUCAGCCUUUACUGAUGAGGAAACCAAAGCCCACAGGUCUCUGUCCCUGCCCAGAUCACACACCAGCCUCUAGUCCAGUAUGACGGUGCUGGGAAGCCUUUCCUGCCGUGACCGUGCCACCUCUGAGCAGCACUACAUCUGCUGCAACACUGACCUCCCUCCAGGGCUCACAUCAUUUCCUGCCUGGACAAGCCGAACAGCCUCGUCACUGGUCUUCCUGCUUCAAAGGCUUUUCUUUAUGGCCAUCCUCAACAUUGCUACUUCGGAGUUGCCACUUCUCUACUCAAAAGACUUUGAUGGUUCUCUGUUAUAUGGUGGUCUAGGAACUGAGGGAUGGAGGAAGGUUUGGCCCUGCCAACAUUACUCUGUGACCCACUUGGGGAAGGUGUGGAUUUAGAGUUCUUGAGCUUUGGGUGGAAGGCAUGAUUCCACCAAGGGCUGUGACAGAGUUCCAUUAAAUUUAAAAUUGUGGCUGCUGCCUGGUCCCUUUGGGCUCCUUGUGCUAACAGGGAAAGAAACGAGUCGCCGUUGUGGCACUGGCGAUUGACUGAUCAUCAGGUGAACUUAAGGCUGCUGUCAUCUACAGGGGGGCACAGAAGAGCAUGUUUGGCGCCAAAGUGAUGCCCUGGGACGCUGUUGUGUUCCUGUGCAACAGGGACUGGGGAGCGCGAGGAGGGGUGGCGAAGGGUGAAGAAAUAUAAGAGCCAAGUAUUGAGUUUAUGCGGGCCAGGGGUCUCAAGCCUCUGUGGACUGAGCCCCGAAUCUGGGAAUCUGGCUGGUGCAAAGCUUUUAUUCUCCGCUGCCACAAAGAAGUAAAUUUGGAUAUCCCAUCCCAGUUUGUUGAUUCGAUGUGUCUGGCCACUGCUUCAUCGAAACUCAUUGUGUUCAAACACAGGUUGUGCUUUCACACAUACAUACGAUCCCUAUGGAUGGAGUCAGCAUUUCCAGACCAUCAGAUAAGGAAGCUUUGCUGAGAUUAUUGCCUCGGGUCUCAGCAUUCUGAGACACUCCCAUAAGACUUCAAAGGUUCAGUGCGCCAGGAGCAUUCGAGUAGGCAGUUGCAAGGUGACAGGACGUCUCUUGGUAAAUGGUCCAGUGUUGCAGCCAUAGCCUGAGAAGGGCCUGAUGACCAGUGGCUCAGCCUACAAGGUAACCCCCAAAAAGAAAGCAUCUAGCUCACCAAGGGGAGGGCAAUCUCAAAAUGAUCAGAGGAAGGCGAUGAUGAGGACCACAUGUGACCUUGAGUCAGGCUGUGAGGACAAAGCCCUAGGUCUUCUUUUUGUAAGUUUCCCCCAAGAAAAGAGGCCCCCCAGAAUCCCAAAG